rnacentral:lncRNA from 1 species
GACCUCAGUUGUUAUGAUUUGAUCCAGCAGGGCUUCAGCCAGACCUUCUUGAAAAACAAAAAGUGGAGAAUACCUUAUGCCAUGGCACCAAGUUGUCAAGAAACUGCCUCCCAGAGUGAUCUCUUCCAAGACAGUUCAAUUCACCGCAGACUCUUGUAUUGGUUUCACGGUAUACAUACAUGAUGGAAAAACAGGU